UGUAAACUUCUGGAGCAGAAUCAUGAACCACAACCAAUAGGCAUUUUUUGGUAUCAAGCAUCUAAAUGAAUUACUGCACCUAGGGCAGAUCUUGUACUGAAAGUGAGAGAGAACCCAGCAGGCAAGAAGAACUUACUUAGACUUAGCAUUACAACUGUUUUACAGUGGGAGAAGGAAGACUGAGAAGCAUUUUUACUCUCCUACUUUUUGACAAGUUCAGUGAGAGUGGAAGGGUGUAUACAAGUGGAAAUCUAAAACAGACAUUACCUGUAAGAAACACCUCACAUUAUUUGCUUGGUGGGGAGGCAGAAAAUGCCAGUCCAGCUGUGUAAGAUGAGAUCACCACACUGAUCUCACUGUUUUGAAUGCUCUCAUUUUACUGACUCUGUUAUACACAAUGUUUUCUCAAAGUAGGCCUAAAAUUAUUAUAAAAAAUUAAAAGGAAAGAUAAUUUCA